GUUCUGCAUCUCUAGCUUUCUCCUCCUCCCAGUUGCAUCUCCACACAUCACUCACCACCCGUGAGCCAAAGAAACCGAGAGGGAGAGCUCCAGCUAUCGUCUUCCCUCUCCUCUUCGUUGCCGGCCGCCAGGAAGAAGGACGCCGCAACACAUCGUCAAGACUUUGCCAACUCUAACUCUUUCCCGUUCCGUAUUCUAAUCUUCAUGCCGAACAAGUUUCCUUUUGACACCAUCUCAUUUCAUCCACUGCAGCGACGGGAACGCCAUCGUGCCCACGGGAGCUUCAGAGCGCGCCCGGAGCGCCGCCGCCACGACCUCGUCGCUGUCCCGGCUGCUGUGGAGCGAAUCCGGCCGAGCCGUCGCGCCAAAAUCUUCCCCUCGAGGUCCUCUCCAAAUGCCCUCAAGAAUCCCCAAGAUCCGAGCACCGAGGAGAGAUAUCGAGCUAUUCUUCUCCAACUCCGGCCGCCGAGCUCCAUCUUUGAUUCCUCCUUCUCCGUUCUUGUAGUGAGUCAAGCCGACGCCGUUCAUGGAGAAGGAGCGCCGUCGCCGAGCCGUUCCGAACGCCGUCGUCGACGACCAAGCUUGGCCAACCUCGUCCAAUACUACUAUAAUUGCGUAAAUGGUGAAGAAGUGAAUUAGGUGCUAACAUUUCCCAGGAACAAGGCAAGUUUUAUCCUCCCAAUAUUUGAUCACAUUGAAUCCCAUGUUUUGAGGAUUGAAAAUAUUUGUUUGCAAAGUUGCAUGUGAAUUUAGACUAUAACGGUAUUUGAAACUUGGUUAUGGUAGCUAUGACCUAAUUGCUGCAUUUACUUCUUUGAAUAAUUGUGAUCCUCACUGAUUGUAACCUUAGAAAUGGUUAGAGUACUUUCAAAGUGCUCAAUUGGGUUUAUACAUGCUUACAUAAAAGCCUUACGCUUGGCCAUGCCUAGUAGUUGCUAAAUAACUUCAUGAUCACUUUUUAAAUGAGAAUUUGGGGAGUAUUUUCACUGCUGGACAGAGGUGAAUAUCUCUGAUAUUUGUGAAUUAAAAUGUGUAAAAGUGUGAUUUUAGACUUGGGCGGCAAGUGGUAUGCAUAUGGUGCUAGUUGCAUACCGAUAGGGGGAGUGCUCGCCCUAGUCAAUUAAGGACCGAACUUUGUGUCACCAUCUAAGUAUACUGUGCAACCACAUGUGCUAGGAAUGGGACGGCCUUAGCUUAUUAAGUUGUUUAAUGUCUAACAUUGCAUUGGGAGGCCGUAGUAGUAUGAACUAGUUGGAAUGAUGGUUUAUAGGAGCUGCCUAGUGCGGUUGUGCCUAGGCGUCUAAGCGUGUCCAAUAUAACGGUUAAGUGCCUCGUGGAGGAACGGAUGUAUUCGCUGCCACGGCGCUAGGGAUGGCGAGGCCCCCCCGACCUAGCAGCACGUGGGUUGCUCCUCGUGUGGAUAAACACUUGCCGUGCUCGUGCAAGGUUAGGCAUUAGGCAAUGUAAAGGCUUCGUUAUGACCUCUAGACCACAUUCGACGUGAAGAAUGUGGUAGAGUCUUGCAAACUCAAAACAAACUAGAGUGUUCAUAUCAUGUGGGUAAAGCUGUACAAAUUCUGCAGAGUUCUUUAAAACUAAUUGAUUAGCCGUGCUCACGGUCAUGAGCGCUUUGGUGAUGUGUCAUGAGUAUAGUCUUGUGGAAGAAUUGUGUUGAGUUGUGUGAGUGAUGAUGAUUAUAAUAGUUGUGCCAUGGAAGGCAGCAAGAGUAUGCUUAUGAUGAUAUGAUGUUAUCUAUGAUGAUAUGAUGUUAAUUAUGAUGAACUUACAAAUUUGUUUUGUUAAUUGAAUCAACUCCUUUACAAAAGAUUUGUGAACCAAAACUUGCUUUAUGC